rnacentral:rRNA from 1 species
AUUGAACGCUGGCGGCAGGCUUAACACAUGCAAGUCGAGCGAGCGGCGGACGGGUGAGUAAUGUAUGGGGACUGCCCGAUAGAGGGGGAUAACUACUGGAAACGAUGGCUAAUACCGCAUACUAUCGGCUAAUCCAUAUGGGAUUAGCUAGUAGGUGGGGGAAAGGCUUACCUAGGCGACGAUCUCUAGCUGGUCUGAGAGGAUGAUCAGCCACACGGGUACUGCGACACGUCCCAGACUCCUACGGAGGCGGCAGUGGGGAAUAGUGCACAAUGGGCGCAAUCCUGAUGCAGCCAUGCGGCGUGUAUGAAGAAGGCCUUAGGGUUGUAAAGUACUUUCAGCGGGGAGUCGUUACCCGCAGAAGAAGCACCGGCUAACUCCGUGCCAGCAGCCGCGGUAAUUC